rnacentral:rRNA from 1 species
AGCAGCCGCCGCGGUAAUACAGAGGGUGCGAGCGUUAAUCGGAUUUACUGGGCGUAAAGCGUGCGUAGGCGGCUAAUUGAGUCGGAUGUGAAAUCCCUGAGCUUAACUUAGGAAUUGCAUUCGAUACUGGGAAGCUAGAGUAUGGGAGAGGAUGGUAGAAUUCCAGGUGUAGCGGUGAAAUGCGUAGAGAUCUGGAGGAAUACCGAUGGCGAAGGCAGCCAUCUGGCCUAAUACUGACGCUGAGGUACGAAAGCAUGGGGAGCAAACAGGAUUAGAUACCCGCGUAGUCCCUGUCUCUUAUAC